rnacentral:rRNA from 1 species
CUACGGGGCGCAGCAGUGGGGAAUAUUGCACAAUGGGCGCAAGCCUGAUGCAGCCAUGCCGCGUGUAUGAAGAAGGCCUUCGGGUUGUAAAGUACUUUCAGCGGGGAGGAAGGGAGUAAAGUUAAUACCUUUGCUCAUUGACGUUACCCGCAGAAGAAGCACCGGCUAACUCCGUGCCAGCAGCCGCGGUAAUACGGAGGGUGCAAGCGUUAAUCGGAAUUACUGGGCGUAAAGCGCACGCAGGCGGCUUGUUAAGUCAGAUGUGAAAUCCCCGGGCUCAACCUGGGAACUGCAUCUGAUACCGGCAAGCUUGAGUCUCGUAGAGGGGGGUAGAAUUCCAGGUGUAGCGGUGAAAUGCGUAGAGAUCUGGAGGAAUACCGGUGGCGAAGGCGGCCCCCUGGACGAAGACUGACGCUCAGGUGCGAAAGCGUGGGGAGCAAACAGGAUUAGAUACCCUAGUAGUC